AGCUUCUUUGAAACCACACUAACACUUAAAUAUGGUUAAGACUCUGAUGGCCAGUCUUUGUGUCUGAGUGAUU
rnacentral:snoRNA from 1 species